rnacentral:rRNA from 2 species
AGAGUUUGAUCAUGGCUCAGAUUGAACGCUGGCGGCAGGCCUAACACAUGCAAGUCGAGCGGUAGCACAGAGAGCUUGCUCUCGGGUGACGAGCGGCGGACGGGUGAGUAAUGUCUGGGAAACUGCCUGAUGGAGGGGGAUAACUACUGGAAACGGUAGCUAAUACCGCAUAACGUCGCAAGACCAAAGUGGGGGACCUUCGGGCCUCAUGCCAUCAGAUGUGCCCAGAUGGGAUUAGCUAGUAGGUGGGGUAACGGCUCACCUAGGCGACGAUCCCUAGCUGGUCUGAGAGGAUGACCAGCCACACUGGAACUGAGACACGGUCCAGACUCCUACGGGAGGCAGCAGUGGGGAAUAUUGCACAAUGGGCGCAAGCCUGAUGCAGCCAUGCCGCGUGUGUGAAGAAGGCCUUCGGGUUGUAAAGCACUUUCAGCGGGGAGGAAGGCGUUAAGGUUAAUAACCUUGGCGAUUGACGUUACCCGCAGAAGAAGCACCGGCUAACUCCGUGCCAGCAGCCGCGGUAAUACGGAGGGUGCAAGCGUUAAUCGGAAUUACUGGGCGUAAAGCGCACGCAGGCGGUCUGUCAAGUCGGAUGUGAAAUCCCCGGGCUUAACCUGGGAACUGCAUUCGAAACUGGCAGGCUAGAGUCUUGUAGAGGGGGGUAGAAUUCCAGGUGUAGCGGUGAAAUGCGUAGAGAUCUGGAGGAAUACCGGUGGCGAAGGCGGCCCCCUGGACAAAGACUGACGCUCAGGUGCGAAAGCGUGGGGAGCAAACAGGAUUAGAUACCCUGGUAGUCCACGCCGUAAACGAUGUCGAUUUGGAGGUUGUGCCCUUGAGGCGUGGCUUCCGGAGCUAACGCGUUAAAUCGACCGCCUGGGGAGUACGGCCGCAAGGUUAAAACUCAAAUGAAUUGACGGGGGCCCGCACAAGCGGUGGAGCAUGUGGUUUAAUUCGAUGCAACGCGAAGAACCUUACCUGGUCUUGACAUCCACAGAACUUUCCAGAGAUGGAUUGGUGCCUUCGGGAACUGUGAGACAGGUGCUGCAUGGCUGUCGUCAGCUCGUGUUGUGAAAUGUUGGGUUAAGUCCCGCAACGAGCGCAACCCUUAUCCUUUGUUGCCAGCGGUCCGGCCGGGAACUCAAAGGAGACUGCCAGUGAUAAACUGGAGGAAGGUGGGGAUGACGUCAAGUCAUCAUGGCCCUUACGACCAGGGCUACACACGUGCUACAAUGGCAUAUACAAAGAGAAGCGACCUCGCGAGAGCAAGCGGACCUCAUAAAGUAUGUCGUAGUCCGGAUUGGAGUCUGCAACUCGACUCCAUGAAGUCGGAAUCGCUAGUAAUCGUAGAUCAGAAUGCUACGGUGAAUACGUUCCCGGGCCUUGUACACACCGCCCGUCACACCAUGGGAGUGGGUUGCAAAAGAAGUAGGUAGCUUAACCUUCGGGAGGGCGCUUACCACUUUGUGAUUCAUGACUGGGGUGAAGUCGUAACAAGGUAACCGUAGGGGAACCUGCGGUUGGAUCACCU